AGUGAACGCUGGCGGCGUGCUUAACACAUGCAAGUCGAACGAGAACGGCUUAUAGCUUGCUAUAAUUGUCAGCUAAGUGGCGCACGGGUGAGUAAUGUAUAGGUAAUAUGCCUCUUACUCAGGGAUAACAAUUGGAAACGUUUGCUAAUACCUUAUACUCCUUAUUAACAUAAGUUAAUAAGGGAAAGAUUUAUUGGUAAGAGAUUAGCCUGUAUUGUAUCAGUUAGUUGGUGGGGUAAUGGCUUACCAAGACUAUGACACAUAACUGGUUUGAGAGGAUGAUCAGUCACACUGGAACUGAGACACGGUCCAGACUCCUACGGGAGGCAGCAGUGGGGAAUAUUGCACAAUGGACGAAAGUCUGAUGCAGCAACGCCGCGUGGAGGAUGACACAUUUCGGUGCGUAAACUCCUUUUAUAUGAGAAGAUAAUGACGGUAUUAUAUGAAUAAGCACCGGCUAACUCCGUGCCAGCCGCCGCAGUAA
rnacentral:rRNA from 1 species